AAUGAACGUUGGCGGCGUGGAUUAGGCAUGCAAGUCGCGCGAUAAGAGUAGCAAUACUUGGACAGCGGCGAAAGGGAGAGUAAUACAUAGGUACGUACCCUUGGGACUGGGAUAGCGGCGGGAAACUGCCGGUAAUACCAGAUGACGUUUCCGAACCAAAGGUGUGAAUCCGCCUGAGGAGCGGCCUAUGUCCUAUUAGCUUGUUGGUGGGUAACGGCCUACCAAGGCAAGAUGGGAUGGGGUGUGAGAGCAUGCCCCCACCUCACUGGG
rnacentral:rRNA from 1 species